ensembl:lncRNA
GGAGGAGAUCCUGGAGGAGAUCCUGGAGGAGAUCCAGGAGGAGAUCCUGGAGGAGAUCCCAGAGCUGAGGAGAUCCUGGAGGAGAUCCUGGAGGAGAUCCCGGAGCUGAGGAGAUCCUGGAGGAGAUCCUGGAGGAGAUCCUGGAGCUGAGGAGAUCCCAGAGCUGAGGCGAUCCCAAAGCUGAGGAGAUCCCAAAGCUGAGGAGAUCCUGGAGGAGAUCCCAGAGCUGAGGAGAUCCUGGAACUGAGGAGGCCCCAAAGCUGAGGAGAUCCUGGAGCUGAGGAGAUCCCGGAGCUGAGGAGAUCCUGGAGGAGAUCCUGGAGGAGAUCCAGGAGCUGAGAAGAUCCCAGAGCUGAGGAGAUCCUGGAGGAGAUCCUGGAGGAGAUCCCGGAGCUGAGGAGAUCCCAGAGCUGAGGAGAUCCUGGAGGAGAUCCCAGAGCUGAGGAGAUCCUGGAGGAGAUCCAGGAGAAGAUCCUGGAGGAGAUCCCACAGAUGAGGAGAUCCCAGAGCUGAGGAGAUCCAGGAGGAGAUCCUGGAGGAGAUCCCAGAGCUGAGGAGAUCCCAGAGCUGAGGCGAUCCCAAAGCUGGGGAGAUCCCGGAGCUGAGGAGAUCCCAAAGCUGAGGAGAUCCUGGAGGAGAUCCAGGAGGAGAUCCUGGAGGAGAUCCAGGAGGAGAUCCUGGAGGAGAUCCCAGAGCUGAGGAGAUCCCGGAGCUGAGGAGAUCCCGGACCGAGUGGAUCCCGUGCCAGGAUGGCAGAAGAGCAGAUCCGGAAGCCUCUGGAGUUCCACAUCUCCAACAACACCCAGGUCACCCUGAAGUACCACAGGACCGCGGAGGACCUGAGCUGCUCCCACCUCCUCCCGGAGCUCCUGGGCGGUUCCUCGGACUCCUACCACGUCUUCAGCACCUCCAACGCGCUGGGCCGGGGCUGGUUGGUCAUCUACGAGGCCUCCUCCUUCACCUUGGCCGUCUUCUUCUUCCUCCGCUCCCACCCGGAGCUCCUGCCCACGACGCUGCACCUGGAGCUCUCCACGGCCAAGGUCCACCUGGGCGACUUCCGGGAGACCUUCGACCGCCUGACGCUGCAGCAGGAGCCGCCCGACCCCGCGGCCACCGCGGUGGCCCGCGCCCAAUCCUCCGGCCGCGGCGACGCCUACGUCCGGCUGGGCGCCGGCGCCUACGGCGUCCUGGCCACCGCCGCGUCCCGCCGCGCCCGGCCGCUCCUCAGGGUGGAGGUGGAGGAGAGGCACUUCGUGUUUCCUCCUCUGGGAAGCGCUGGGCCACCGCCGGCACCUCCAGAAUCCUGCGGGUACUGCCAGAAGGCCAGAAAGUCCUCUGGAACCUCAAGAGCUCCUCUGGAAGCUUCUAGGAACGUGUAGGAACCUCCAGGACCUCUCAAGAACCUGCAGAAGGCCAAAAGCACCUCUGGAACCUCAAGAGCUCCUCUGGAAGCAUCUAGGAACGUGUAGGAACCUCCAGGAGCCCUCAAGAACCUCCAGAAGCCCAAAAGCACCUCUGGAACCUCAAGAGCUCCUCUGGAAGCUUCUAGGAACGUGUAGGAACCUCCAGAACCUCUCAAGAACCUCCAGAAGCUCUCAAGAACCUCCAGAAGCCCAAAAGCUCCUCUGGAACUUCAAAAGCUCCUCUGGAAGCUUCUAGGAACGUGUAGGAACCUCCAGGAGCCCUCAAGAACCUGCAGAAGCUCUCAAGAACCUCCAGAAGCCCAAAAGCUCCUCUGGAACCUCAAAAGCUCCUCUGGAAGCUUCUAGGAAUGUGUAGGAACCUCCAGGACCUCUCAAGAACCUGCAGAAGCUCUCAAGAACCUCCAGAAGCCCAAAAGAACCUCUGGAACCUCAAAAGUUCCUCUGGAAGCUUCUAGGAACGUGUAGGAACCUCCAGAACCUCUCAAGAACCUGCAGAAGCUCUCAAGAACCUCCAGAAGCCCAAAAGCUCCUCUGGAACCUCAAGAGCUCCUCUGGAAGCUUCUAGGAACGUGUAGGAACCUCCAGGACCCCUCAAGAACCUCCAGAAGCCCAAAAGAACCUCUGGAACCUCAAAAGUUUCUCUGGAAGCUUCUAGGAAUGUGUAGGAACCUCCAGGACCCCUCAAGAACCUCCAGAAGGCCAAAAGCUCCUCUAGAACCUCAAGAGCUCCUCUGGAAGCUUCUAGGAACGUGUAGGAACCUCCAGGACCUCUCAAGAACCUCCAGAAGCCCAAAAGAACCUCUGGAACCUCAAAAGUUCCUCUGGAAGCUUCUAGGAACGUGUAGGAGCCUCCAGGACCUCACAAGAACCUCCAGAAGCCCUCAAGAAUCUCCAGAACCCCACGAGAACCUCCAGAACCCCUAAAGCACCUCUGGAACCUCAAAAGCUCCUCUGGAACUUUCUAGGAACCUGUAGGAACUUCUAGAACCCUGUAGGAACAUCUAGAAUCUUGUAGGAACCUCGAGAAACCCACAGGAACCUCCAGAACCCCUCCAGAACCCCAAAAGCUUCUCCAGAACCCCAAAAGCUCCUUCAGGAGCCCCAAAAGCUCCUCCAGAAACCUCAAAGCUCCUCCAGAACCCCAAAAGCUCCUUCAGGAGCCCCAAAAGCUCCUCCAGAACCCCAAAAGCUCCUCCAGAACCCCCAAAUCUCCUCCAGGACCCCCAAAUCUCCUCCAGAACCCCAAAAUCUCCUCCAGAACCCCAAAAACUUCUCCAGAACCCCAAAAGCUCCUCCAGAACCCCAAAAACUUCUCCAGAAUCCCAAAAGUUCCUCCAGAACCUCCAGGAGAACCUCGUGGGCUCCAGGAGAACCUCGGGGGAGCCCCCAGGAACCUCCUGGACCCUCCCGGGCUCGGGAGGUCCCGGUCCCGCCCAGGUCGGGGCCCCGGCCCGAAACCUCCGUCCCCGCUUCCCAUUGGCUCAAUAAAAAUACGGACAUUUGGGAGGAUUUGGGGGAU